rnacentral:rRNA from 1 species
AUUGAACGCUGGCGGCAUGCUUUACACAUGCAAGUCGAACGGUAACAGGCCGCAAGGUGCUGACGAGUGGCGAACGGGUGAGUAAUGCAUCGGAACGUGCCCAGUCGUGGGGAUAACGCAGCGAAAGCUGCGCUAAUACCGCAUACGAUCUAUGGAUGAAAGCGGGGGACCGUAAGGCCUCGCGCGAUUGGAGCGGCCGAUGGUAGAUUAGGUAGUUGGUGGGGUAAAGGCUCACCAAGCCAACGAUCUGUAGCUGGUCUGCGAGGACGACCGGCCACACUGGGACUGAGACACGGCCCAGACUCAUACAGGAGGCAGCAGUGGGGAAUUUUGGACAACGGGCGCAAGCCUGAUCCAGCAAUGCCGGGUGCAGGAAGAAGGCCUUCGGGUUGUAAACUGCUUUUGUACGGAACGAAACGGUCCUGGUUAAUACCUGGGGCUAAUGACGGUACCGUAAGAAUAAGCACCGGCUAACUACGUGCCAGCCGCCGCCGUAACAC